rfam:Desulfuromonadales bacterium C00003093 3730_contig_16787, whole genome shotgun sequence.
GGCUGCGAACUGUGGGGACGAUCUCCCCCUGCAGAUCCGGCCACGGCAAAUGCCGAAACCAUUUAGAGAGAAGGAG